GGUUUCUGGGCCUCUCCCCAUUUAGAUCAGCUUGGGUCCUUAAGGGAAAGCACCAAGCUGAAUACACCACUCAGCUGGGAUCUAAUUGGCAUGGAAAACAGUGGCAUCACCACCUCCCUUAUUUAGGGGCUUAGACCUCUUGCAAUGUGACCAAAUGGAAUUGGCUUUCAUGGCUGCUUUGCUACCCCUCUAGCUUGGCCUACCAGCCCUUGGGGGCCACCUAAGACCCCCAGUUCUCUUCUUGGGGGCUGCUGUGUGUCCCUACUCUAUAGAAUUGACUCUCGCCUGGCACUUCCCCAUCUGGAGGGACGUUCUCACCUAGGCGCUCAAAGGCGUCGGCCAUGGCCUGGUUGCGCACCAUGUCGAUGAGCCCCCGGCCCAGGCAGAAGUGAGGGAAGACAAGGAACACCCGUUUCAGGAUGCGGCUCACCUCCUGCAGCUUCUGCUCAGGGGCAGGAGGAGGAGGCGGGUCAGCGGCCGAGGCGGACCCCCAGUGCAGCCCCAGCCCGAGGCCCAGCCCCGUGGGGCCCACCUGAUCAGAGAAGAGCUCGAGCACGAAGGUGGCCAUGCUGCCGUUGAUGCCGAUGAAGAGGUUGACGCAGGGAGAGGUGGUCCUGAUCUCUAGUAGGAGGACAGCGGAUGUGACGAGGAGGUGCGGGCAGCUGGGGGAGACUGGAGCCUGCGGAGCCUGACGACGCCCCCUCACCCUGGCGUGGGGCGCGGAGAGGGGCGGUUCCCGUUCUCCGCUCACACAGCGAGAGCACGGCGGAGCAUAAGGCCAGCGCCCCCCACCCCAGACGACGGGGAAACCCACGGAGGCACGGGGACGGGGGCCAGGGGACUCACAGCGCGGCCUCGGACAGCUGCUCCUUGGCUGUGGGAGAGACAGACACACAGCCUGAGAGGUGAGCGGACAGAGACGGCGAGGGAUGCUGGGGAGCUGUGCCGGGUAAGGCUCCUCCAGUCCGGCCUCCUCUAGCAGCGCCUCGAGCAGGCGGGCACGUUCAGGGUCCCCCGGGGCAUCCUCGCUGCAUGUAGGGGCGCAGGAUCAGAGCUGUACUCACAGGCCCCUGGCCCUCCCACCGCCAGGCCCCUCUCCUCUGCACCCACCUGAAGA